rnacentral:lncRNA from 11 species
GUGGAGGUGUCAGAGUGGCCUGCAAUACCUGUGCCUUGUUUUUCCUUCUUCCCAGAGCUCACCUGGAAUACUGUAUCCAUUUCUGGGCACUUCAAUUCAAGAAUGAUAUUGAAAAGCUGGAUGGUGUGCAGAGGAGGAUAGUAAAGUUGAUCAAAGGUUUAAAAACCAAGUCACCACCAACAGGCAGGGGUGCCUGGACAGCAUCCAGUUGCUCUUCUACAGCCAGGAAAAAGAGCAAGCAUCGCCUUCUGGAUCUCUGGAGAUUCAGGAAGGUGAUGGCUAUUCCUUUCUUUUCACUGCAGAACAGAAACUGGAGACCACCUGAGUACCUGCAUCCUCAUCUAGCCCAUGAAUGGUUGCCCCUUGCCCAGAUACUAAAUCACCAUAAUGUAAAGCUGCCUUCUGUGCAGAGGGGAGAUUUUGCCAAAGAAGGCACUGGACUUGUCCUUCUCCAAAGAAACACAUGCUGAGUAAUACCUGGUUACAUCGGCAUGUAUUCCAGCCAUAGACUCCUGAAAUGCUGUUUGGAAUCCUUCCUUUUCUAUGUUCUAUGCAAGGAAUUCACGGCCCCAGUCAGCCUUGCACUUUGACAUGCAAGCAAGGGUUCAGUACAUGGUUACUUUAAUUUCAUCUAAAUAACUCCUCUCAUCUGAAAGGAAUCUAUAUCAACAGAACAAGGCUAAGGUUUUCAUAUCUUUUGGUCUGAUUCUCCAGAUGAGUGAGUCAAGUAGAAAUGUUUGUAGGAACUUCUGUAAUCAUUCCUUUUGCAUUCCCUUUAUAGCUUUGGAUCAUGUCAUGAAAAUACACAUUGUAUUUAUAUUUCACAGCAAUCUGUCACUGCAAUGUCAUAAUCAGUUCUGCUCCAUGCUGUCAUUUGACUUUAGGAACUCUGAAUAAAAGUCUCUUGCUAAUAUUUAACCCAUG